GCUGGGAUGGUGUAGUUGGUUAUCACGUCUGUCUAACAUCGUGCUGAUGCAUCGCGUCACAUGGUGCACAGAAGGUCCCGAGUUCAAGUCUCGGUCCUAGUA